CGAGCAGUAGCUCAAUGGUAGAGCUUUCCGCUUCGUAGGCGGCAAGACCUGGGUUCGAUUCCCGGCUGCUUAA
rnacentral:tRNA from 1 species